AUGCAGUGGACACCAUUGAAAAUGAAGUUGCAGGUCUGGGCGAUGUGCAGCCUCACAGUACCACCUGUGAGUCCUCUUUAUGUUUGGUUUAUUGUCCCAUUUUACUUUAAUUUCUGUUCCUCUUUUUCACUUGGUCAGACAUAUUUCUAAACCUUUACAUGCAUCGCAUAUUAAAACAUUCCAUCUUUAAUAUUUCAUCAAGCAUGAACAGGUUGAUUGUUCUGACUGUUUUGUUUUUGAUUUGGCUCUUGAUUAUUUGUUUCCAUCUCAUAACUCAUUAAAACGCUCCCCCUGAAACAUUUUCCAUUUUAUGUCUCUACACAGCAAGCCCACACCUCCACUGUGAGGAUGAGAUAUGCAUGGAAUUCAUCAAAGAGUAUUUUUUGAAUUGUAAGACUUUAUAUCUUCAUUAACUCUACUAAACUAGAGAUCUUGUCUAUUUCAAUAUCAAGGUCCCAUGACAGUUGUAUUUUCUACUCGAAACAAAUUCAAGAAAGCAAUUCACAGAAAGUGAAGUUUGAAAUAAGUGUGUAUAAUAACUGAAUAAAUAAGCUUUCCAUUAAAGUAAGUUUUAUCAGGAUAAUACAAUAUUUUACAAUAUUUGGCCAAGAUACAACUACAUGUAUUUGAAAAUCUGGAAUAUGAGGGUGCAAAAAAUAAUAAUAAUAUUGAGAAAAUCACCUUUAAAGUUGUCCAUAUGAAGUUCUUGUUUGUCACUAAACAGAAAUUAGGUUUGGAUAUAUUUACGGUAGAAAAUUUACAAAAUAUCUUCAUGGAACAUGAUCUUUGCUUAAUAUCCUAAUUUUUUUUGGGCAUUAAAGAAAAAUCUAUAAUUUUGACCCAUAAUAAUGUAUAAUAAUAAUAAUGUCUAUUGCUACAAAUAUACUUUGCUACUUAUGAUAGAUUUUGUGGUCCUGGAUCACAAAUAAUAAUAAUAAUAAUAAAUAAAAAUAGCUAAUAAUAAUAAAUAAAUAAAUAAAAAUAGCUAAUAAUAAUAAUAAUACAAUAAUAAUAGUUAAAUAAAAUUCAAUAAAGAUAUAGUAUUAAAAAAACAACAACAACACAAGUACAAGUUAAGCAGAAAAAACUUUUCAACAUUGAUGUUUCUUGAGCACUAAAUCUGCAUAUUAGAAU
rnacentral:lncRNA from 1 species